rnacentral:rRNA from 1 species
CUUUGGGAUAACCCUCGGAAACGGGGGCUAAUACCGAAUAUUCACUUGCGGACGCAUGUUUGUGGGUGGAAAGUUUUUCGGCUUGGGAUGGGCUCGCGGCCUAUCAGCCUGUUGGUGGGGUGAUGGCCUACCAAGGCGACGACGGGUAGCCGGCCUGAGAGGGCGACCGGCCACACUGGGACUGAGACACGGCCCAGACUCCUACGGGAGGCAGCAGUGGGGAAUAUUGCACAAUGGGCGGAAGCCUGAUGCAGCGACGCCGCGUGAGGGAUGACGGCCUUCGGGUUGUAAACCUCUUUCAGCAGGGACGAAGCGCAAGUGACGGUACCUGCAGAAGAAGCGCCGGCCAACUACGUGCCAGCAGCCGCGGUAAGACGUAGGGCGCGAGCGUUGUCCGGAUUUAUUGGGCGUAAAGAGCUCGUAGGCGGCUUGUCACGUCGUCUGUGAAAACCCGUGGCUCAACUGCGGGCCUGCAGUCGAUACGGGCAGGCUAGAGUUCGGUAGGGGAGACUGGAAUUCCUGGUGUAGCGGUGAAAUGCGCAGAUAUCAGGGGGAACACCGGUGGGGAAGGCGGGUCUCUGGGCCGAUACUGACGCUGAGGAGCGAAAGCGUGGGGAGCGAACAGGAUUAGAUACCCUGGUAGUCCACGCUGUAAACGUUGGGCGC